GAACAUUUAAACACCAUCAUUUCGUUGAGGAAUGCAAGUGGGAGUGGCUCAAAUGCCAUGGUGAAGGGGCCUAGCAGCACACGUGACAAUGUGACACUCUUGUGGGAGACUGAACAGGGCCACUGGUGAUUGAACCAAAUAUCAGGCCGGUCUGCUUAUCAGAUAUUUGGGAUUAAAGGCAUGCUUAAGGAUGGCAGAGACAACAUGAAAUUUGUCUUUUCAAACUAAUUGGGAAGGGAUCCUCAAACAGAGUGGAGUUCUUGGCUAUUGGAACCGACGAGGAGGUUUUCGUGAAUUGAUAGCAGACGGAGACUCUAUAAUGCUGUCUCUUAAGCCUCUAGGAAGUGCAUUCCUGCUUUGAAGCUGAGCCCUAUCUUGAAUGAAUUAAGGUUGUGCUCUUGCUUCUUAGAAAUCUGGCCCAUGUGUAAAAUCCCAGUAGUUCUUUUAAUUGUAUUGUUGACUUUCUUGCAGAGCAAAAUAUUGGGGUGUGCUAAUUUCACACGGAAGCCCUGCCAUCCACAUGCAGGCAGAUGUUCCACUCUUAAGAUCUUCUGCUCUAAAAUCAGGCCACCGACAAACAAGAUGAAUGGAUGAGUAGAAUUUUCGAGGGGCAUCCUUGUCUGCAGAUACCUAUUCAUGGCAACAUACGGAAGCUUAAGUGAAGAUAUCGACUUUCUGAUGGCUCAAUGAGAUGCCACCUACUUGGUGGAAUUUUCAGAUACAGGUUGAACCUCGAACUCCAAUUCACCAUUGACAAAUGGGAUACAAUUUUUCUCCUUCCAAUAAAUACCAUUCUAUGUUCGGAUCUGACCGAUCUUCCAUUCAAUACAACAGCUUGGACUAGAGAAGCUAGACCUGGGGCCUCUCAUCCAUGUUCAAGUCUCUGAGGGAAAAGGGGGAUACAAGUCAAAGUAAAGGUUGUCUUCUCUGCAAUUGAGGGCCUAUGACUCAGUUCAUUCAUGGAUGAGGCCCGCUUGACUGCAUGGUCAAAUGAUCAAGACCAGCACCCAUCUGCUUGCCCCUACCGUUGUGGAUGAUUGUACAGAAGACUCACUUGAGCUGCCUAAUUAAGCUGCAUAGUCAGAUUAUGAAGACAACACGUCUGCUCACAUCUAUCGCUUGUGGGUUAUUGUAAACAAAACAUGUGGAUUGGAGAAUCCUACCUGUCUGAUUUUCUCUACUGAGUGUAGACUAUUGGCUGAAUGUUUUCAUCACCUGUUUGCUUGAAGGUUGUUACUGAGAAAGAUAUGAUUGUCCUAUUGAUUUGAUAUUUAUAUAGUUGACUGUCAACCAUAGGACUUAUAAGAUUGACAUACCAGAUAAUACACAUACACCCGUGAGCUGUGCAGGCCCAGUCAAGCAGUGGACCCUUAGACAUAAGGGCAAGCUCCAAAUUGAAAAUGAGUCAAUAGGUCUCUUGUUUGUUAAGGGUGGGCAAUUUUGUCUUCAAAUGGGAUUCUUCAAAUUGAGCAUAGAUGUUCCUCAUCGCUUGUGAGUUCAUCAGCUAGCUAGGCUUCAUAAAUAGCUUUUGGGAAGGAAUGGUCACUUUACUAGCUGUUUGUAGCUUUAUACAUUUGUUCAGUUAGAAAGCCAAUGUAUGUAAAACAGAUCUGCAGUAUAACUGUUAUGCUUAUUACAAGUAAUCAAACCGGUUUUAUGUGUGAUGUUUAUGUUAAGGAAUUGAUCAGCCAUUGUAUUUAUUGUUUGGUUGUGGAUAUCUCUGUUUAACCUUUUGUUCAUACUAUGAAAUUUGCUGAGUUCAGUACAUUGUUGACUCAAUUCAGUUCAAUGUUGAUUCAAUUCUGUUUAACCUUUUGUGUCUAUUGUUGCAAUAUUCUUGUUUGUUUACAUUAUUUGCCCCUCUUUAAAUCCUGGAUUCUUUAAGAUUUGUAAGAUCUGUUCUAAUGGGAUGCUUUUCUCUUCUAGGCUAGUCUUCUUUCAGUAAUUUGAGUAGUCCUUGAAAGAUAUUCAGUGAUAAGUGGCCGAGAAGAGCAAAAAGAAAUCAUUCAUAAGGCAGGAUCACAAGAUUGAUGUAAAAUGUUUUUUCAAUGAAAGGAAUUGGGAAAUCGGUUACAACGGUUGUAAGGAAUGCUCAGUGAUGUGAAGUGUAGAUUGAGCUGUUGGACCAUACCAGGAAGUGUCAAGAAUGCAGCCCAAGUUGGAGCAGUGGAAGAACAUGUAGUGAUCUUUUUUAUUCAAAAAAAAAAAUACUAGGUAAUUCUAUCUUCUCUAUUUUCAAGAUGUGUAUGCUAUUUCUAAUGUAGUUUAAGCCCCAUAGGCGGUAGCUUUUGCCAUAUUAUCUCUGUAACUAAGUCCUUCAUCCAAGGAACUGAGAGAUUAUAUGGCUGGGAUCAGUUAUAAAAGGACUUAAGACUGAUACAUUGUAUUUAAAGAGAUAAAAUACUAUUAGACAACUGGUUUAAUACUUGUACUCUAUCUUAAGGGCAUGUGUACACCGUAAACAUCAGCUAAAUUUCAAAAGGACGGAUCACCUACAAUCAGUUGUAUGCUAAAAUCCAGCUUGUUAUGCCAAAAUUUCUGUUUCCAGUUUUUCAUAUGAAAAUGAUAUCAUUUAUUUUCAAAACCAAAGUGCUUAGAAAAGGGUAGCCAAUGCCCGUUGGGCG